rnacentral:rRNA from 1 species
ACGCUAGCUACAGGCUUAACACAUGCAAGUCGAGGGGCAGCAUGGAAGAAGCUUGCUUCUUCUGAUGGCGACCGGCGCACGGGUGCGUAACGCGUAUCAAACCUGCCUCAUACUCGGGGAUAUCCUUGCGAAAGUAAGAUUAAUACCCGAUGUUGUUAUGUUACCGCAUGGUGAUAUAACCAAAGAUUUAUCGGUAUGAGAUGGUGAUGCGUCCGAUUAGGUAGUAGGCGGGGUAACGGCCCACCUAGCCUUCGAUCGGUAGGGGUUCUGAGAGGAAGGUCCCCCACACUGGAACUGAGACACGGUCCAGACUCCUACGGGAGGCAGCAGUGAGGAAUAUUGGUCAAUGGACGGAAGUCUGAACCAGCCAAGUAGCGUGCAGGAUGACGGCCCUCCGGGUUGUAAACUGCUUUUAGUUGGGAAUAAAAAAGAGGACGUGUCCUCUAUUGUAUGUACCUUCAGAAAAAGGACCGGCUAAUUCCGUGCCAGCAGCCGCGGUAAUACGGAAGGUCCAGGCGUUAUCCGGAUUUAUUGGGUUUAAAGGGAGCGUAGGCGGAUUAUUAAGUCAGUGGUGAAAGACGGUGGCUCAACCAUCGUUAGCCAUUGAAACUGGUAGUCUUGAGUGCAGACAGGGAUGCUGGAACUCGUGGUGUAGCGGUGAAAUGCUUAGAUAUCACGAUGAACUCCGAUCGCGAAGGCAGGUGUCCGGGCUGCAACUGACGCUGAGGCUCGAAAGUGUGGGUAUCAAACAGGAUUAGAUACCCUGGUAGUCCACACAGUAAACGAUGUAUACUCGCGGUUUGCGAUACAAUGUAAGCCGCCAAGCGAAAGCAUUAAGUAUACCACCUGGGGAGUACGCCGGCAACGGUGAAACUCAAAGGAAUUGACGGGGGCCCGCACAAGCGGAGGAACAUGUGGUUU